CGCUGAGGCUGUAUUGAUCUCUGUUGUUUGUCUUGUUAGGGGCCGCGCACAUUUGGUGGUGGAGAGAAUGCGGGCAGUAAUUUAUCCACUGCUGCUUCCUCUUUCCGGGGCCGAGACACAUACCAGCAGAGGAGACGAGAAGAGCGAUUUGAAAGACCUGAAAGCAGAGAAGAUGGAAACUAUCGAGAGCUGGUGGAUGAACGUGCUCUGAGAGACAUCAUGGAGAUGGGCUUUAACAUGCAGGAUGCUCGGCUGGCGCUAAUGGAUAACAACAACAACCUGGAAGUGGCACUAAAUAGCCUACUGACAGGAACUUUUGAGGCCAGAACUAGCCCAGUGGUAGAUGAACCUAUCAGGCCCCCACCCAGAGGCAGAGGAAGGGGAAGAGGCAGGUCUAGAAAUGAAGAUGAAGAGGAGGGACCAGGGGGAAGGCCAUCUGGUCCAAGCACUCUUUUUGACUUUCUUGAAUCCAAAAUGGGAGUUUUCUCCAUUGAUGGUAAGCUAAAUAGUCUGGAUUCAACUACUUUGGUACUUGA